rnacentral:rRNA from 1 species
CACGUAGGGGGCGAGCGUUGUCCGGAAUUACUGGGCGUAAAGGGCGCGCAGGCUGUUAUGCGAGUCUGCUGUGAAAUGUACCGGCUCAACCGGUGCCUUGCGGCGGAUACUGCAUAGCUGGAGUACUGGAGAGGGAAGUGGAAUUCCCGGUGUAGCGGUGAAAUGCUUAGAUAUUACACAGAACACCGAUUGCGAAGGCAGCUUGCUGGGUCAUUACUGACGCUGAUGCACGAAAGCGUGGGGAUCAAACA